UCUACGGGGUGCAGCAGUGAGGAAUAUUGGUCAAUGGGAGAGAUCCUGAACCAGCCAAGCCGCGUGAGGGAAGACGGCCCUAUGGGUUGUACACCUCUUUUGUCGGAGAACAAAACCCGGGACGUGUCCCGGACUGCGUGUAUCCGCAGAAAAAGCAUCGGCUAACUCCGUGCCAGCAGCCGCGGUAAUACGGAGGAUGCGAGCGUUCUCCGGAGUGACUGGGUGUAAAGAGUUGCGUAGGUGGCAUAAUAAGUAGCUAGUGAAAUCUGGUGGCUAAACCAUUCAGACUAUUAGCUAAACUGUUAAGCGCGAGACCGUUAGGGGUAACUGGAAUUUCUAGUGUAGGAGUGAAAGCCGUAGAUAUUAGAAGGAACACCAAUAGCGUAGGCAGGUUACUGGGACGGUUCUGACACUAAGGCACGAAAGCGUAGGGAGCAAACGGGAUUAGAUACCCCUGUAGUC
rnacentral:rRNA from 1 species